UACGUAGGUUCCGAGCGUUAUCCGGAUUUAUUGGGCGUAAAGCGAGCGCGGGCGGUUAGAUAAGUCUGAAGUGAAAGGCUGUGGCUUAACCAUAGUCUGCUUUGGGAACUGUUUAACUUGAGUGCAGAAGGGGAGAGUGGAAUUCCAGGUGUAGCGGUGAAAUGCGUAGAUAUAUGGAGGAACACCGGUGGCGAAAGCGGCUCUCUGGUCUGUAACUGACGCUGAGGCUCGAAAGCGUGGGGAGCAAACAGG
rnacentral:rRNA from 1 species